UUCUCAGGAGACAGGUCAGUGUGUGUGUAGAGAACAUAUGUCUGACAAGGUGGAGUCAGGCUUUUACUUCAUCACCCUGGACAACUACACCUACGACCUACGAGGCAGAGGACGCCAAGUUUGGACCUUUACCAAACCAGUGGGAGGAGGUAUUGUCCCAGUGUGAUCUCAAACAGUUGCUGUGCCAACACCAUGCCUGACGACAACCAGAUGAUUUUCCUCCACCCUGGAUCACGACCUGUGUUUUCGGCAGGGAUGGACUACACUGUUCUCCCCAGACCUGUGUUUUCGGCAGGGAUGGACUACACUGUUCGUCUGAGCUUGCCCCUCUACUCUGCACUCAUCGAUUCGGUUCAUUCCCACACACACUGUUAAACACCUAGACACAACUGAGACUUUUGCGUAAAUCAUGCAUUGAUGUUGCUUGAAUAAAAAUGUGAGCUAUAAGGAUUUUAAGGUGGGAUUCAGCCCUUCGACUCCAUACUAAAUUGAAUUAUAUCUUCUGUAUCUUUCUGUCCUCUAUAGAUUGUGCUGAUGCCCCACUGUAAGAACCUGCAGCCUUAUUUAUAAACAUACAUUUCACACUACAUUUCUGCAUGCACCGUUUCUGAAAAGUCUGCGCACGUACAAAAAUAUUGAGAUUUAUAAACUUGCCGCACGCCAUACAUACGCAUGUUUCCCAUUAUAAAUCAGACCUGUCAUAAAACUGUGGGUGCGUGAACGUGCAUUAUAACUCCGCCUGAAACGCCCUCAUUCACCUUUUAUGGUAACAAUAACGCCCUUUAUUUUCUGUAAUUUGGAACUAUUGGCAUUAGGCCA